UUCCCUUCACCGCCAAGAUUUCGAAGACAUCCAAGUUCCAUUUUUUUUUCUUUUUCCUUCUUCAAUUUGCAGAGAACUUCUAAGAGAGAGUUAGGAAGAAGAAGAGAAAUUUUACUAGAAUUUUUAGGUUGAAGAAGAGGAGGAGAACUCAAGCAAAGUGUAUCAAUGGCUGAAUUUUAGUUCAUUCUGCACAUCACUGGUUUUUAAUUUGGUUUGAACUCUUCAAAAAGAAUUAAGAGGGCAGUUGGUUUUCAAUCGAAAUCAGGAGGUCUCUGGUUUUUCUUGUAUUUCAGAGUGUAUCGGUGGAGUUAGAAUCUCUAUUUGGGACAAGUUAAAGAGGUCGUGUGCGCGCGAUUCUGGAAGUGGUUCUGUUUUGAGGGUUAUCUGAGUUUAUGCACGGGGAAUCAGAUUUACAUGCCUUCAGGUAGAGAUCGACUUCCCGGUGCCUGAUAGACUGCCUUAGUCUGCGGAAGCUUCAUUAUCGAUUGCCAGCAUAAUGUCAUUCCCACGCACUAAUUUCCUUGAGACGGAUGCUAUGUUCCUUGAGUUUACAGACGAUUUAGAUAACCUUGUGGGAGGGUCGUUGUUCGUAGACGACAAUUCGAGAGAGUCUAAUAAUGGAGACGUGUGCAGUCUUGACUCUUAGAGUCAGAGCGCUACGUUGCAGUCAAUGGGUGGAUUCCAAUGACAAUCACCCCUGGCGUAGAAAAGCUUAUUUCCCCACACGCCGUUCGCUUCAACCAAACGAUAGGUGUGUGAGUGCGAAAGACAUUUCCUGUCCGUUGCCUUAAGUAUACAGAUGUAGGUAGAAAAUACAUCGAGGUAAUCAAGGGAUACCUCCAGUGAUCAAGCAAUGAAUAGGUUUGUUGAGCAACAGAUGCUCACCAUCUUUAAAGAGUAUCGGGACGACUGUCACAAACACUUCAAAAAAUACAACGAUGCUAAGAAGGUUCGUGCCAACCCAACAAACCUAUUGGUGGGACGUGAUAAGGAUUGACACUUCCUCUAUGACCACUACAUGAGCUGUGCAUUCAAGAGCAAUCACGGAUUAACAAGAUUGUUAGACAGAAGCAGCCUUAUAAUCAUAGUAGUGGAUCAAAGUCGUUUCUACAACGACAGCAUGAGCUCUUUGAGCAAAGAGAGGAGUUGGUCGAUCAUGUAGAGUUGUUCCAACAAACACACAUUCGAGACGGAACGUUCGUGUCCCAGGCUGCGGAGGAUGCACAUCAUCAAAUGCUAGAACUCCAGUCUUAGCCUACCCUAGAAGGUAAUUAGCCACUCUCUAGGGAUGAGAUAUGCGAGACGGUGUUGGAUAGACGACUAGACUACUUAAAAGGCUUUGGUUAGGGGCCCAAGCCGAAGGCCCGCAAGAUGACAAGUGUGAGCAGUUCCACGACGUCAUGUCCGCAAUCCAUAGUAGAACUUCAAUUACAGGUAAGCUUGAUCAAGAUAUGAAACAGAUUGAAGAGCAGACAAGAAAUCACGAAGUGUUAUUUUCAGAAGUGGAACGAAUGCGAAAGUUGAUAGAAGAUAUGACUCGGGCACAGUAAAGACCACCACAUGAUGAUCCCUAGCUUUUGUGAACCCGCUGUGUAGAGUGGAUGAGGCUCGUUAGGAGAUGUUAGAUUUCGUUGUUGGCUUUGAGUGUACUUCACAACAAUGAUGCUGUCGUGAGUGUUGGACGGGUUCCAUUACGAUAAAGACGAUGAAAGUGCUGGGUGGACCCCAUUACAUCGUAGAGCUAGUAAACGUCGGUUGUACUGGGCAUGUGCUACACAAUGUAGAUUUGUCAUAUUAGUUAAUUUUUUUUAUAUGCUUGUUAUGCCUUGCUAGAUUUCAAUGACGUACACACUGGGUAUUUGAGAAAGUUGUUAUUAUUAUUACUCUUAUACGUUUAUUUUUGCAAAUUGAUUAAACAGAUUUAUAUAUGUAAAGUUUUCAUGUGUUCCGAUCAUUAAAUUUACAGUUUUGAACUGAGUCGCUCACUAAACUUUAUAGCUUACCCUUCCAAAAUGGUUUUCCCACUUUCCAAGU